CUUUCUCCUUGUCAGCCCCAGCACUCAAGCAUCAGAUCAGGCCCACAUGAGUGGGUGUCCCUGAAGUUGUGUGUGCCCUGCUCUGUGCAGUAGUGCUCCACCAACCAGUUAGUGGCAAGAAGCUAAAAGAAGACAAAUCAGGAAAAGCAACAUGAUGAGUUCUUAUCCUGUGGGUGCUGGACCCUGUUGCUGGAUGAGCUUAGCCAAGCUGCCCAGUGGAACAGAAUCAGGUCUUUAGAGAUAGAUAAAUGCAUAGAUGGUCAGUUUUUUUAUGACAGAGAUGACAUUACAAAAACUAUGAACAAAAUGUCUUCACAGGAAAAGUUCUCUGUCAGCCUCAUUUGCAAACAGUCACCUGGUGUAUAAAGUGGGCUCAACAUCAAUAAUCAUCAGAGUGUGAAAGCUGCAACAAACCAGCAGAAACCUUGAGAAGAAAGAUCAUAAAACUGAACCAUGAACAACAUUGAGCACAACCUGGGGAAAGAUCUAGAACACUCUCCUCUGUUUGGAAAUGUGAAGCCAUACCUGAGUUGGAAACCCACCCUGAAGGUGCAUGUACCUUUGAUCCAGGGCUUCCCCUCAGAGCACAUACAGAUGUGUAUAGGUCCCCAUGUUGUACAGGGACCUCACAAAUUUAUCUGUGUCAAGAGCAACCUGAAUCAGCUAAAUGUCAAUCAAGAGUAGAAUGGAAAUAUAGAAGAAUGGAAGUGCAUGCAAUGAAAUACUAUACACUAGUGAAAAUGUUCAAUGAGUUCAAAUACCCUGGAAGAGUAUGCAAGAGCUAGAUAUACU
rnacentral:lncRNA from 1 species